rnacentral:rRNA from 1 species
UACGGAGGGAGCUAGCGUUAUUCGGAAUUACUGGGCGUAAAGCGCACGUAGGCGGCUUUGUAAGUUAGAGGUGAAAGCCCGGAGCUCAACUCCGGAACUGCCUUUAAGACUGCAUCGCUUGAAUCCAGGAGAGGUGAGUGGAAUUCCGAGUGUAGAGGUGAAAUUCGUAGAUAUUGGGAGGAACACCGGUGGCGAAAAGCGGCUCCCUGGUCCGAUACUGACGCUCAUGUGCGAAAGCGUGGGGAGCAAACAGG